GAAGGGUGCUGGCGAAGUGGAGCAGUUGUUGGCUCAAGAACGGAAGGUUUGCUAUUAGAUAUUUGGUUUUGCUUGCUGAUUUGGUUGGUUAUGAUGAAGUCAUGAGCCUCUGAAAAUUGUUGUUUUAUGAUUAACCAGCUAUGGCAUAAAGAGAAGCAUCUGCUUGAGCUGAAAAACCUUGAAUUGGCGAAUGCGAUUGACGUGAAGAGUAAUGAGAUCCAACUGUUGGAGAAGAAGCUGCAACAUAUGAAAGAGAUGGGAACAAUGGAGCAGAACAAAACAGAAAGGAUGAUAGCAUUGCUAGAGGGGAAACAGAAAGAAAAUGAGAAACUUCAUCUUAAAGUGGCUGAGUUAGUAAAGCAACUCCUGGCAAAAAAUGCGAGGCAUGGGGAUGUGGACGUAGACACAGAGUUUAUCGGUCUCUCUGACUUUUCCAAUGCAUAUAUUGUCAAUGAGCAGAGCUAUAAAGAUGAACUCCAGGAGGCUCGUAAGGCGUUGAUCAAUGUAUUGCGUGAUGGUUCAAAAGUUUCUAUUGGGGUGAAGAGGUUGGGGAAUCUUGAAUUGAAAGCAUCUCAAGUUGCUGCCAGAAGAGAAUAUUUUGUGGAAGAGGAGGUAAAUGAGAGGGCAGCUGAGUUAUGCUCUAUGUGGGAGAGUUGCCAGAGAUCCUGAUUGGAAGCCAUUCAAGACUAUCCUGGAUAUGAGAGGAAGGAACAAGGUACUUGUUCAAGUAAUUGUUGAUGAGGAAGAUGAAAAGUUAAAGAAUCUAAAGGAGGAAUCAGGUGAUGAAGCGUAUGGGGCCGUACUAACUGCAUUGUUGGAAAUGAACGAGUAUAAUCCUGGUGGUAGAUAUGCAGUUGAAGAGCUAUGGAACUUUCAACUAGGUAGGAAGGCAUCAUUGACAGAGGGACUCCAAUAUCUUCUGAAGCAACUUGAUUCGGUUACCACAAACAAGCG